UACGUAGGGGGGCUAGCGUUGUCCGGAAUCAUUGGGCGUAAAGAGCGUGUAGGCGGCCCGGUAAGUCCGCUGUGAAAGUCGGGGGCUCAACCCUCGAAUGCCGGUGGAGUACUGUCGGGCUAGAGUGCGGAAGAGGCGAGUGGAAUUCCUGGUGUAGCGGUGAAAUGCGUAGAGAUCGGCAGGAACACCCAGGGGGAAACCAGGUCGACUGGGCAUCGUACUGACGCUGAGGUGCGAGAGGCGUGGGG
rnacentral:rRNA from 1 species